rnacentral:rRNA from 1 species
GAUGAACGUUGGCGGCGUGCCUAAUACAUGCAAGUCGAACGGAGAUUGUAGCAAUACGGUCUCAGUGGCGAACGGGUGAGUAACGCGUUGGUGACCUGCCCCGAAGUGUGGAAUAACAGAUCGAAAGAGCUGCUAAUACCGCAUAAUAUCCAGAAGAUUAGACGCUUUUGGAUUAAAGGAUUUAUUCGCUUCGGGAGGGGCCUGCGUCCCAUCAGCUAGUUGGUAAGGUAAUGGCUUACCAAGGCUAUGACGGGUAGGGGACCUGAGAGGGUGGCCCCCCACAAUGGAACUGAAACACGGUCCAUACACCUACGGGUGGCAGCAGUAGGGAAUAUUAGUAAUGGGCGAAAGCCUGAACUAGCAACGCCGCGUGUGCGAAGAAGGCCUUCGGGUUGUAAAGCACUUUUAGAGAGGAUGAGAAGGACGGUACUCUCAGAAUAAGUCUCGGCUAACUACGUG